rnacentral:rRNA from 1 species
AUGAACGCUAGCUACAGGCUUAACACAUGCAAGUCGAGGGGCAGCAUGGUCUUAGCUUGCUAAGGCCGAUGGCGACCGGCGCACGGGUGAGUAACACGUAUCCAACCUGCCGUCUACUCUUGGACAGCCUUCUGAAAGGAAGAUUAAUACAAGAUGGCAUCAUGAGUCCGCAUGUUCACAUGAUUAAAGGUAUUCCGGUAGACGAUGGGGAUGCGUUCCAUUAGAUAGUAGGCGGGGUAACGGCCCACCUAGUCUUCGAUGGAUAGGGGUUCUGAGAGGAAGGUCCCCCACAUUGGAACUGAGACACGGUCCAAACUCCUACGGGAGGCAGCAGUGAGGAAUAUUGGUCAAUGGGCGAGAGCCUGAACCAGCCAAGUAGCGUGAAGGAUGACUGCCCUAUGGGUUGUAAACUUCUUUUAUAAAGGAAUAAAGUCGGGUAUGCAUACCCGUUUGCAUGUACUUUAUGAAUAAGGAUCGGCUAACUCCGUGCCAGCAGCCGCGGUAAUACGGAGGAUCCGAGCGUUAUCCGGAUUUAUUGGGUUUAAAGGGAGCGUAGAUGGAUGUUUAAGUCAGUUGUGAAAGUUUGCGGCUCAACCGUAAAAUUGCAGUUGAUACUGGAUAUCUUGAGUGCAGUUGAGGCAGGCGGAAUUCGUGGUGUAGCGGUGAAAUGCUUAGAUAUCACGAAGAACUCCGAUUGCGAAGGCAGCCUGCUAAGCUGCAACUGACAUUGAGGCUCGAAAGUGUGGGUAUCAAACAGGAUUAGAUACCCUGGUAGUCCACACGGUAAACGAUGAAUACUCGCUGUUUGCGAUAUACUGCAAGCGGCCAAGCGAAAGCGUUAAGUAUUCCACCUGGGGAGUACGCCGGCAACGGUGAAACUCAAAGGAAUUGACGGGGGCCCGCACAAGCGGAGGAACAUGUGGUUUAAUUCGAUGAUACGCGAGGAACCUUACCCGGGCUUAAAUUGCAGAUGAAUUACGGUGAAAGCCGUAAGCCGCAAGGCAUCUGUGAAGGUGCUGCAUGGUUGUCGUCAGCUCGUGCCGUGAGGUGUCGGCUUAAGUGCCAUAACGAGCGCAACCCCUCUCCUUAGUUGCCAUCAGGUUAAGCUGGGCACUCUGGGGACACUGCCACCGUAAGGUGUGAGGAAGGUGGGGAUGACGUCAAAUCAGCACGGCCCUUACGUCCGGGGCUACACACGUGUUACAAUGGGGGGUACAGAGGGCCGCUACCACGCGAGUGGAUGCCAAUCCCCAAAACCUCUCUCAGUUCGGACUGGAGUCUGCAACCCGACUCCACGAAGCUGGAUUCGCUAGUAAUCGCGCAUCAGCCACGGCGCGGUGAAUACGUUCCCGGGCCUUGUACACACCGCCCGUCAAGCCAUGGGAGCCGGGGGUACCUGAAGUGCGUAACCGCGAGGAGCGCCCUAGGGUAAAACUGGUGACUGGGGCU